CGGCCACAUUCACACGAUAAGCUUUCGCGACACGUCAGUAGCGAGAACCGAGACCACCACGCAGGACCAUUCAAGUGAAUUCCACGACAUCAGCGUGAAUCGUAGGCUGCUUAAGGAGCACCUGGACGCCAGCAGAUCUUGGACGCUUCUAUGGCAAAAAAGUAUCAUUGCGGUGAAUUCCAAGAACGCAAGGAAUAGAUAUUGCAUAGUUACACUCCAAGACCUCGAAAGACGCCGCUACGCCAACUGCGUACGAGAAUCGACAGCGGGUGUCCAUCAUUCGGGACAAUACAAGUCAGCUGUUCUGGCGUGUUAAUUUCUUGGUGCCCGCAGACAUCCCUUGAACGUUCGGUGAAACAACCAAAAGCCACAGACAACGACGAAGAAAGCCUUCGAAGCCAUUACAUCCUGCGUCUCCUAGAAGAAAGUGUCUCCAUACUCCAGUGUUCCCUGGUCACAAAGAGAUCUUGAUAGACAUAUUCCGAUGAUGGCAUCAUCAGCGACACUGGCAGUUCUUCUCUUGGCUGUGUUCUUUAGUCAGCGAUUCACCUCCGGAACCGGAAAUACAAACCAAGGGGUGAGAAUCUGCAAGCCUCAACCGAACGGUGACACCCUGGGCCAGAGGUCCACCUGUCCGUACGUGGUAACCGAAGACAAUGACUUCAGGAGAGUUCCGGCGAUCAUAUACCACUUCAGCUGCAACUGUCCCGGAAAGUCGGUGCAGCUGAUCAAGGUGACUACCGAUGCGUACAGGUCAGAAAGAUGCUGCCAGUGGCGUUUCAGAGAUUUAACGCGGGGAAGACAACUUUUCAGAAGAAGGUCGUGAACGUGAAUGCAUCCUGCGUCUGCGCUACCCCCAAGGCACAGGCGCUUGUGACGAAGGACAGAAUACUCGACGAGACAGGCAAACACAAGGAAUCGGACGGUGUCGAAGGCGUCAUCCGUAUACACGACAUUGACCCAGUAGACGAACACGAUUAGCUCUAUUUUGAACCAGUGAAGUACGCACAACAUGCUUCAUCGGAAGUCGAGCAAGCACACACAAGUGUCAAGAAAAGGAAGCCACUCCGGAACAAAGUCAAAAGUCUCAACAAUGCUGUGCACUUGAGCAGCUGCUUUUCGGAAGACGGAUCUCGUCGACCGUGGUGGCUCGGCGUGUCUAUCAAUCAUGCGACUUUUCCGUAGUGAAUAAAGUUCCAACAUAAACAUGUCAUAAAGGGUAUUAUCAGUGAGACUCUUUUUGAAUGGGAGGGACCUAAUACCAUGAGCUGUGAUUGGAAGUUCUUUUCUUAUAGUUCUUUUUAGAAUGUCCCAAAAAUAAAAAGCGCCACGACAAUGAAUAAAGCAAUGCUCUAUAUUCUCAA